GAAUAAAUGGAUCUACUUCUUUCUCUUCCCAGAACUUCCCUUUGACUGAACCAACCCAGAACCAGGGAGCAAAAGAUCCUAAAUGAUACAGUCCCAGAAAUUAGCCUCCUGAAGCUACGGUAGAGAAGAUAAGAAAGGGAUUGGUUCAGAGGACAAGUGGAAAUUAUAAAGCACCUCUGGUGACAGGCAUAAAGGAUACGCACCACGCAGAGAAAUGAGGAAUGGCACCAUAGACCUGGAAGUCAUGGACCUGCAUAAGGGAGUUAAAGUCAGUGAUCAAAAAAGAAGCCCAAGAACCAUGGUCCAGCAACACCAACCUGUAAACAGGACCUGGUAAAGGAAAUGUGGUAAAAGAAAGUAAAGAGAGGCCAGUCCCUAGGAGUGCCCCAUGGCCAGGCUCCCCGAGAGGUGCCCUUCCUGUUACUCUGAAUGUCCUGAAUCUGGCUGACAGGGAAAGCCACGGCUGGGUAAAUGAUCUGGAAAGCCUUGGGUGCUUCCUAGGAAGAGCAUCUUUUGCCAAAACUGACUACACCUGUGCUACCCAGAGUUCCUGAAAUAGGGUCAUCAGCAACCGUGGAUAACAGCUCUGCGAUGACGUAAGAACAGAGACUGAGAGCAGCAUUUGAAACUUUAAUAGCAAUUUGACAAGCAAUUUUAUGUCUGAUGAGACUAAUAAUUAAAAACUGGUGCUUACAUUUGGUA